CCUACGGGGUGCAGCAGUAGGGAAUUUUCGUCAAUGGGCGCAAGCCUGAACGAGCGAUGCCGCGUGAGUGAAGAAGGCCUUCUGGUCGUAAAGCUCUGUUGCGGGGGAAAAAAGGCAGCAUCAGGAAAUGGGUGCUGACUGAUGGUGCCCCGCCAGAAAGUCACGGCUAACUACGUGCCAGCAGCCGCGGUAAUACGUAGGGGGCGAGCGUUAUCCGGAAGGAUUGGGCGUAAAGGGUGCGCAGGCGGUCCUGCAAGUCUGGAGUGAACCGCAUGAGCUCAAAUCAUGCAUGGCUUUGGAAACUGGAGGACUGGAGGGCAGGAGAGGGCGGUGGAACUCGAGGUGUAGCGGUAAAAUGCGUAGAUAUAUGGAAGAACACCAGUGGCGAAGGCGGCCGCCUGGCCUGUUGCUGACGCUGAGGCACGAAAGCGUGGGGAGCAAAUAGGAUUAGAUACCCUUGUAGUC
rnacentral:rRNA from 1 species